GGAUGUGAGGGCGAUCUGGCUGCAACAUCCGUCAUUCCGUCGGUCGCCAGGGUUGAUGAGGCUGAUCCGCCUGGUGAGGCGGUGUCCCCUUUCAUCCUCACUGUGCCGCAUGUGUCCCUCCGAGCUGCACCCUCGGGGUGGAGGAGGACGACCACCCCGGUGGGGGAGGACUGUUCUUCGGCCAAGGAUACACGAGUAGCUGCGCUGCCCCCUAGAACCUGCAAGCAACUCUCAAGGAACCCAUUCCAGUGUGCUCACAAGCUAUAAAUUGCUCCUCACAGUGCCAAUAAUAGUUGCACUAGCAAAAGAAAUU
ensembl:misc_RNA 7SK 7SK RNA